rnacentral:lncRNA from 1 species
CGAGAAAAGUUGUCUGAUAGGCAAGUAUGGAUUCUGCUACAGAAUGGCCCACGAACCCAACUUCCGAGCGGCACGCCUACCGGCCGAACAUCGGAGUGACCCGCCUGUGCGCAGCUUGAUCUGCCUACCACGCGUCGGCCUUGGUCAUCAUCUCACCGGCCUCGCCUUUCAUCUCUACCACCUGGAAAGCCGGCGUGGCCGACGGGGCAUAGACGACUGACUGUUCAAGGAACUGAAGCAGUGGACAGCUUGCUGUGAAAGAUGGGAGCAUUCUUCCUUUGGUCUGGACAAGCCCAUAUUAAGUGGGAGAUGUUCAAUAUCAACCCGAUGAGAGGCAGCAAAUGUGGAAAUGGACGCAAGUCAAGGACAGCUGCAGACAGCAAAAUAUUGAAACUGAUACGAUUGUGCUGAAUCACCGAAGAUAUGAGCCAGAGUGCGAACAGUAUACUCGUACAGUUUCGCAGAAUAAACCC